rnacentral:rRNA from 1 species
UACGUAGGGUGCAAGCGUUGUCCGGAAUCAUUGGGCGUAAAGCGCGUGUAGGCGGCCCGAUAAGUCCGCUGUGAAAGUCCAGGGCUCAACCCUGGGAUGCCGGUGGAUACUGUCGGGCUCGAGUCCGGAAGAGGAGUGUGGAAUUCCUGGUGUAGCGGUGAAAUGCGCAGAUAUCAGGAGGAACACCAAUGGCGAAGGCAGCACUCUGGGACGUGACUGACGCUGAGACGCGAAAGCGUGGGGAGCAAACAGG